rnacentral:rRNA from 1 species
AACGAACGCUGGCGGCAGGCUUAACACAUGCAAGUCGAACGCAUCCUUCGGGGUGAGUGGCAGACGGGUGAGUAACGCGUGGGAACAUGCCCUUCAGUUUGGAAUAACCCAGGGAAACUUGGGCUAAUACCGGAUACGCCCGCAAGGGGAAAGAUUUUAUCGCUGAAGGAGUGGCCCGCGUCUGAUUAGCUGGUUGGUGAGGUAACGGCUCACCAAGGCGACGAUCAGUAGCUGGUCUGAGAGGAUGAUCAGCCACACUGGGACUGAGACACGGCCCAGACUCCUACGGGAGGCAGCAGUGGGGAAUAUUGGACAAUGGGCGCAAGCCUGAUCCAGCCAUGCCGCGUGAGUGAUGACGGCCUUAGGGUUGUAAAGCUCUUUCGGCGGGGACGAUAAUGACGGUACCCGCAGAAGAAGCCCCGGCUAACUUCGUGCCAGCCGCCGCAGUAAAAC